UGAGAUAGCACCACUGCACUCCAGGCUAGGUGAUAAGAGCCAGAACUUGUCUCAAAAAAAGAAAAGAAAUGAAGGCUCACUGCUUCCCCUGCACACUUUACUUGGUUGAAACAAAUAAAAAUAAUAGAAUUCAAAUAACCUCAAAUCAUGGAAAAAAAUAUUAUCAGAACUAACCUCUAGUUCUUGGUUACAUUUUUAGAAUGUGGUAAAUGGGUAUUAAAUGAAAUUCUAACCUUAAAUAACCAACUAUAUCUUAAUAAUUAUCAAGAAAAAGUACUUUUUUUUUUUUUUCAGAGCCAGGGUCUCCCUGUGUCACCCAGGCUGGGGUGCAGUGAUGCCAUUCUAACUCACUACAGCUUCGAAUUCCUGGGCUAAGACGAUCCUCCCAGCUGAUGUGGCUGGACUGGGGGGCCACACUUAAUGAACCAUGGCUGUAAGAAGUGAUCCUGAAAGUGAUCCUGAAAGCAGAAAUGAAGGGACUUCUGUACAGUCUUACAGUGAACAAUCUGAUUCGUGUCAGUCUCCCCAUGAGAUUCUCAAGUCUAUGAGUGACAAAGUCUCACUAUGCUGCUCAGACUGAUAUCAAACUCCUACGCUCAAGCAAUCCUCUCGCCUCCACUUCCCAAAGUGCUGAGAUUACAGGCGUGAGUGAGCCACCUGGCCAGGCCCUACAGGUAAGUGUUGGUUAUUUUGUUUCUCUGAAACUAGAAACUUUAACAGUGAAUAAAUUCAAACACCUUUCUUGAUCAACAGAUCCUGAUUUGACAUUCUGUAGAGAACACAACAUAAUUAAUGGUACUUAUUUUUAUGUCAAGAUUAACUUUGAGAUAAAAAAGAAUUCUAAUUACUUACUCUAAAAUGAAUCUGCUGAGAGCUAAUAAAAAUUCUCUUUAAACAGCUCUUUGUUAAUCAGAGAAAUUUAUAAUUAUACAUUUUGAUUCUAAAAGGUCUAAAAUUAAAAUGUAGACACUGUACUGUUCUAGCUCCAGCAACUAAAAAUAAAUGUAAUUUUAGGUGUCACUUAGAAUUUAUAAACUUGAACUUAUAUGCAUGACAAUAUUUGUUAAUUUAUCUGUACUAACAACUUGGCCUAUGACAAUGAAAAUACUUUAAAUUUCUUUUCUGUAUUUAAAUGUUUGCUGGAUUUAAAACAUCAAAUGUCAUUAACUUUCACUUCCAUUUCUGAAUUAUUUUAAGAAAACUUCAUUUUUCAUUUUCCACACUAGCCAAGUGAAAAACUGCAAGCAGCAGAAAAAUUUAUCUAAGAGUUUUAAAAGUCUAAACAUCUCAUUCUUUCGCAAUCCAGAUACCAACAGGAGUCUGAAACCCUUCGCAGAGGCGUGCAACACACUAGGAGAGCGCUAUCUGUUUACAAAUACGAAUCUCAGUUACCCACGUCAAAACCGCGCAUUACCACCUUUCGACUGGGGGGCGGGGGAGAGAGAAGGCGGGCGAGCAAGAAACAAAAUCCACACAGACACCUCUGCCUUCUCCCUACAAGGACGAGCCCGGGGAAACAUUCAGUAUGUAUUAUAUGCGUGUAUACAUUUAUAUACAUUAUGUAGUCACCUAUGUCUAAGCAAGGGUGAAAGAAAAAGGUACACAUGACAGGGAAUCGUAACUGGACCCAACAGAAAUGUUCAAACCAAUCCCGUUAACUCAAAAUCCGCCCCGCUGGUCUACAACAGGUUUCGGUCCGGGACCGGGAGCCCCAGCCACAGUGUGGAGUUCGUCCCCAAAGCGCCCCAAUGCCCUCCUCAGGCCGCCCAGGCCGC
rnacentral:lncRNA from 1 species